rnacentral:rRNA from 1 species
ACGGGUGAGUAACACGUAGGCAACCUGCCCCUAAGACUGGGAUAACUACCGGAAACGGUAGCUAAUACCGGAUAAUCUCUUUCCUCUCCUGAGGGAAGAAUGAAAGGCGGAGCAAUCUGCCACUUGGGGAUGGGCCUGCGGCGCAUUAGCUAGUUGGCGGGGUAACGGCCCACCAAGGCGACGAUGCGUAGCCGACCUGAGAGGGUGAACGGCCACACUGGGACUGAGACACGGCCCAGACUCCUACGGGAGGCAGCAGUAGGGAAUCUUCCGCAAUGGGCGCAAGCCUGACGGAGCAACGCCGCGUGAGUGAUGAAGGUUUUCGGAUCGUAAAGCUCUGUUGCCAGGGAAGAACGUCCGGUAGAGUAACUGCUGCCGGAGUGACGGUACCUGAGAAGAAAGCCCCGGCUAACUACGUGCCAGCAGCCGCGGUAAUACGUAGGGGGCAAGCGUUGUCCGGAAUUAUUGGGCGUAAAGCGCGCGCAGGCGGCUAUUUAAGUCUGGUGUUUAAACCUUGGGCUCAACCUGGGGUCGCACUGGAAACUGGGUGGCUUGAGUACAGAAGAGGAAAGUG